UGGGGAAUAUUGCACAAUGGGCGCAAGCCUGAUGCAGCCAUGCCGCGUGUAUGAAGAAGGCCUUCGGGUUGUAAAGUACUUUCAGCGGGGAGGAAGGGAGUAAAGUUAAUACCUUUGCUCAUUGACGUUACCCGCAGAAGAAGCACCGGCUAACUCCGUGCCAGCAGCCGCGGUAAUACGGAGGGUGCAAGCGUUAAUCGGAAUUACUGGGCGUAAAGCGCACGCAGGCGGUUUGUUAAGUCAGAUGUGAAAUCCCCGGGCUCAACCUGGGGACUGCAUCUGAGACUGGCAAGCUUGAGUCUCGUAGAGAGGGGUAGAAUUCCAGGUGUAGCGGUGAAAUGCGUAGAGAUCUGGAGGAAUACCGGUGGCGAAGGCGGCCCCCUGGACGAAGACUGACGCUCAGGUGCGAAAGCGUGGGGAGCAAACAGG
rnacentral:rRNA from 1 species